ACAAACUUGGUCAUUUAGAGGAAGUAAAAGUCGUAACAAGGUUUCCGUAGGUGAACCUGCGGAAGGAUCAUUAUUGAAUAAACUUGGUUGGGUUGAUGCUGGCUCCUCGGAGCAUGUGCACGCUCACUCCAUUUUUAACCACCUGUGCACCUUGUGUAGAUUUGAACAACUCUCGAGGAAACUCGGAUAGAGAACUGCUGUGCGUAAAAACCAGCUUUUCUUGAGUUCAAAUCUAUGUUUUAUAUACUCCAUAAGAAUGUAUUGGAAUGUAAUUGACAGGCGUUACUGCCUAUAAAAUCAAAUACAACUUUCAACAACGGAUCUCUUGGCUCUCGCAUCGAUGAAGAACGCAGC
rnacentral:misc_RNA from 1 species